GGGAGGAAGCCAAGGAGAACUGGGAUCCCCGGCUACUGGAGCUUUCUCCAUCAUGCAUCAUGGAGUCCAACUCUGAUAUUUUGUCCAGGGAGCACUGGAAGAGGGGAGAAGGGUGGGAGGAGAGUGGUCUUUUUGAAAACUGCAUCGAUGCACUAAUGCACUGAAACCUGAGCUCUUAUUGGAUCUGAAGGGCAGCAUGAGACAGCCAUCCUCCAGCAUCUACCCCUGUUUAAAGGGAUUGCUUUCAUUCAGAGAAGGAGAGGCGAAAAAGCCUUCCAGCAGAGCCCAGUCCGGCUCAGCUCGUCUCCCCGUGUGCCCGUCUGUCUCGUCUCUGCUGAGGCCAGCUGACCGGUCCUGUCGGGCUGACCGGCCACCUGCCAGACCGGCGGCUCUCCUGCACCAGCGCUGGGUGGACCGCGAUGCAGGCGGGAGCAGCCGACUGCCCGGUGGCCUCUGACAUUUGCUAUGGGGAAGAGGGGAUGCGCUCAGCCCUCUUGUUCUGCUGCUGCGAUCGAGCUUCAGGGUCCUGACCUGCCUGUGAAAGGAAACAGUCGAGAGUGAGUGUCACAAAAAAAAAAGGCAGCCAAACAACAAAGCCAUCUUUCACUCUGAAGACGACAGCCACCUCAGUGAGAUGAAGCAGACUGUGUCCGUAAACAAUAGAGCGGUCCCCGACGUGGAAUGGGAUACUCCUUUGGGAAGUCAUUUGUCACCAUUUCCCAGUAAGUUAAAGAUGAGACCAGAGCCUUUCCAUCAUCGCCACUUCAAGCUUCUACACCACGCCUUAAAGUCAUGUGAUUUAAACCUGAACACUGAAUGAAAUAAUUCACUCGGAGGAAACAGGUUACGUUUUUACAGCGAUAAUAUCAACGGUAAAAACUGCGGACUAAUUUAGUACAUCAUUUGACCCACUGUCGUCUGUUUAACAAAUCUUAAAGAUUAAUAAAUUGCACACUUCCUUGAACUGUUUGAAGUUCAGAAGAAGGAUUUCCGUUGUGUCUGGAAAACAUGAACAAACAGUUUUGAGAAAUGUCUUCUUUAAAAGGCGAAUCCAAAUGUCAGAGAGACAGAUACACAGAGAGCACUGCCUUCUGGGCGUCGAGCAGAAAAAACUUCAGAAUAAUGUUUUUUCCCAGUUGGAGCGAACUGCAAUUACCCAUCAUCAAACAUACAAAGCAGAGUGUUUGCACUCUCAUAGCCUGGAGAGGAACAUGGUCACUGUUUGCAAAAUCACACAAAGGAGACUCAGGAAAAGCAAUGUAGGAGUGUUAUUGAGAUCAGAUUUACUGAAUUUAUGUCGCUGUGAUUAGUCGGAUAAUAAAAUCCACUGACAACUUAUUUAUAAACUACUGUGUAUAAAGGAGUAGUUCCAAAUUCUGAGGUUAAAUUUGGUAAACAUUAUGUUGGAAGUGACACAAAGUGAGAUAUGAACGUUUUUUUUUUUCAUCUUUAUGCAUUUUUUUAGACAAAGAAUGGCUCAAAAGUAACAUGAAUAAAAUGAAACAUUUCAUGCUGUUAUAUUUAUGUUUUAUCUGAUUCAUGACACAACAGAGGAAUAUGUGCAACGCUGUAAUUAAACAAGAGGGAAAAUAUUGAGAUUAUUUUUUUAGGUUCAUGAAAAUACUGACAUAAACUUUUUAUUCCCAGCUUCUCUAAGAAGUCGACAUAAAGGCUGAACUUUAGCCGGUGCCGUAGCACAGAGCUGCACCCUGCUUGACUGUUUUGUCAGCUUUUUUUUUAAAUUUUUUUUAUGAAAAACGGGUUCACAAAUCCAAUAUUUUAUAAGCCCAUGUAACUUUGAAGUGUUUUAAUUCAUUGGACUUUUGUGUAUGCAACCAACAAACAAUUUGAAAACAUUCAUAUCAUAGCACCACCUUUAAUUUAACCCUUGAUUGUAAGCAUGUUAAACUCAACAGCAGUGAGCCUCAAGUGCACGCUGCAUACCUACUUAUUUGUUUUUGACAUUUUUCUUUUAAUGUCUUACGUUGCCACGUACAGGAGGCCUGGCUAAAUGCUGACUGUGUUCUUGAUAAACAUUUUUGAAAGGACAAAUAAAUAAAUUAUUUUAGAAAAACUCUCCAGAAAGGAGUUUGUGUGCCUAGACAUUGAUGCUUCAGUCUUGAGCUGUGAAACAAGUCUGAAUGUUUGUACCUGUUUUUAAAAUAUAAAUGUAAAAUGUCAUGUCUGAGUAUUGGUAAAUGACACAUCAGAAUAGCUAUCACUGCUGGUGUGACAAUGUUUCAGUUGGUUUAUUUAUUGGUUUUUAAUCUUUCUGUAUUACCUGUAUUUGAGAGCCUCAUAUUUUUCUGCAUUUUUUUUAAGUACUGGUCAGCAAGGAUUCAAAUUUAAAAAGUUCUAAUGUUCACAGCUCUUUCCAUAUAAGUCUGAGCACUAAUCUGGAAUAACAAAUGAGUUCAAUAUUGCACCAGUGAUAAUGUUUGUUUUUGUUGUUUUUUUCCUAACUUGUGAAACAGUGAUCUCAUCUGGAUUUACAUCACAGCCGUCUGUCUGUAGUUUCAUAAAGUACUUGUCAUGA